ensembl:snRNA U1 U1 spliceosomal RNA
AUACUUACCUGGCAGGGGAGACACCAUAAUCAAGAAGGUGGUUCACCCAGGUGAGACCCUUGAGCACCGAACCCCCAGCUGCUCCCCGGGCACCGCAGCAAUAUGACUGCCCACUGCUCCGGGUGUGUGUUCAUUACUCUGUGUGUGCACUUGGAUGGG